rnacentral:lncRNA from 1 species
CCUCCUUCCUUCCCUCUCAAUCUCUCUCUUUUUGCUCUCCUCCUUCAGCAUUACUAAUAGCAAAUGACCUUAAUGCUUGAGACAGGGUAUGUUCUUUAAAAAGUGUAAGACUUCUAGCGGGGGAUUUAUUCAGUGGUUCUGUCGCCUGCCUCGGAAGUGCAAGGUCCUGAGUUCAAUCCCCCGUACCAAAAAAAAAAAAAAAAGACCAGAUGUUGGUGUAAAAACUGCUUGAGAAGCAUCUGUGAGAGAUACCGCGCUGUCCGUCUCCCAGGAAGGAAGUUCGUAUCUCUUGUGCGUGUUCUAAUUUUAAAAUUAACACAGGACUCCAAAAAUUCAACUGAGAAAUGGGAAUGAUCUUCCAGGUCCAAUGAUAUUAGUGUCUGGACCAAAGUCACAGCUACUGGCUUCCUGAAGACAGUGAUAUACAGACUGGGUCUCCACCAUGUGCAUGAGCUAGGAAAGGGCAGAAGAAAGAACUGGAGGAGAAUUGGUCCCGAUAGAAGGGAAGAGAUGUGAGAAGGAUAGAAGAAAUUGUGACUGGGGCAGGCCCACUGACCUCCAGUGGAGCCACGGGCAGAGCACCCAAGACUGACUGAGCCCUGCUGUGUCCGGCUGGCUACACCUCCUUGAGACCAAGAGCUGAUAAGGAUCCCCCAGGCAGGCCCACCAGCCGCCUGUGGAGUUGCGUGGGCACCUACAACAACAGACCCCCCCCCCAACCGCCUCUGGCCUCUUGGCUGUGCAGCUACCUGGUUCCACACUGCAGAGGCACAGGGGACAUAAAGGCCACUGUCCUGAGCUGCAGAAGUGAACGAGAGAGAGAGAGAGAGAGGGCCUCUCUCAGGCUUCCUGAUGAAAACUGAAGCCCACUGGAAACGUGAAGAGAAUCUCUGCAGUAAAGGCACACCAGACCACCAUACUUGGAGGACAUGGAGCUCAACUUGGGACUUGAAGCCAGAAAUCUGCCUGAAUCUCACAGGAUUUAGACAUAUAGUAUCGGCCACUUACAGUUCACUGACUUAUUUGUCUCUCUGUGGCCGAGUGCCCAUCUGCAGACUUUCAUAUGGCUUGACAAUCUCAUACCGGCCUGCAGCUGCCAUGGACAGUGUUUGACUGGUUAGUGCACAAAAGUAACAUUGUGGCUCUUCUGGAGUUUCCUUCUGAGAUUAUGCUGGGGAGUAAUAUUCAAUUUAGAAAUUCUCUUUCUACCAAAAAGCUGGUUUUUAUGUAUUCUUACUGCUGCUUCUGUGUGUAG